rnacentral:rRNA from 1 species
GGUGAGUAAUGUCUGGGAAACUGCCUGAUGGAGGGGGAUAACUACUGGAAACGGUAGCUAAUACCGCAUAACGUCGCAAGACCAAAGAGGGGGACCUUCGGGCCUCUUGCCAUCGGAUGUGCCCAGAUGGGAUUAGCUUGUUGGUGGGGUAACGGCUCACCUAGGCGACGAUCCCUAGCUGGUCUGAGAGGAUGACCAGCCACACUGGAACUGAGACACGGUCCAGACUCCUACGGGAGGCAGCAGUGGGGAAUAUUGCACAAUGGGCGCAAGCCUGAUGCAGCCAUGCCGCGUGUAUGAAGAAGGCCUUCGGGUUGUAAAGUACUUUCAGCGGGGAGGAAGGGAGUAAAGUUAAUACCUUUGCUCAUUGACGUUACCCGCAGAAGAAGCACCGGCUAACUCCGUGCCAGCAGCCGCGGUAAUACGGAGGGUGCAAGCGUUAAUCGGAAUUACUGGGCGUAAAGCGCACGCAGGCGGUUUGUUAAGUCAGAUGUGAAAUCCCCGGGCUCAACCUGGGAACUGCAUCUGAUACUGGCAAGCUUGAGUCUCGUAGAGGGGGGUAGAAUUCCAGGGUGUAGCGGUGAAAUGCGUAGAGAUCUGGAGGAAUACCGGUG